CGGCGGGCGGCUGCUGAGAGAUUUGGAAAGCGGUUUCCCCCGUCAGAGCUGGCGGAGCUGGGAAAGCCAGAUGCCGCCGCACCGUUGCCGCUGCUACUAGGGGUCUGAAGACGGAUCAGGGCCAUCAUUGGGAUUGCGGUGCCGAAAUCUGGACCAACCCGGCGAGGUCAAAGGUCCCGGACCGCGGGAGACCAAGAUCAGAGGAAUGCCUUAUGAACCGUAUUACUCCUACGACUGUUUCCAGAUGGAUUCAGCGACACUGUAUGGCAUGGAUCUGAAGUACCCUCGUGAUCUAAAAUAAUGUAGCGACUACAUAUGUUAAUAUUCAGUUUUCAUAAUUGGCGGCGAAUGUACGCGUGCACGUGAGCUUUAUGAUACACUGCAGGGGAUACAUAAACUUGUGUUCGACAUUUUGCCGCCCUAAUUCUGGAUUAGAUAAAUGGAUGUAAUUAAAGGGAACAGUACUGAGUCAUUCUAGGAAUCACCUAUCUCAUUGGAGCUGUGUGUCAUGCUUUUGAAUAAGCCGCAGACCACUAAAACGAGAUCUUACUAGUCAAAACAGCCAUCUUGUAUGAUAAAAGGCCAUUUAAUUAUAGCUAUCUGUAAUGCUCUUGCAAAACAUUUGACUUGCAUUCUGUGCUGAUCUCUAUUUUUCUAUACGCAGAAUUUGCAUUUUUAUCUUAUUUUUAUAGCUGAUUAGUGUCAUAUGCAUUUUGAGACGAGCAGCCGUAUUCUUCACUAUAACUAUAUGUGCAUUGUAAAGUCAAUUGUUUCAGAUAACACAAUCUGUCAAUACCACCCUACAUAACACAAAAACAAGACCAGUGCGUCAUUAACUAAAUGAUUUUUUAUACGGUGAAUAUGGUACACAAUUCACAUGCAUUUGUACACACGAAGUACUGAAUAUGUUUUGUUUUUACCGUUUUCGUCGGUAUUAUGUUUCAGAACAUGAAUGUAUCCGGUUUACUUUCAACCUGUAAAAUAUUCACGAAUUAAAAAGAUUAGUUGAUGCUAUUAGA